rnacentral:misc_RNA from 1 species
GUGGUGAAUUUUAUCUCUGAGAUGUACUAGCUACUCGCCAAGCGCUGAAAGUAUUAAUCUCUUGAAGGAGACAUUCAUUUGUUUAC